CGAUGCAACGCGAAGAACCUUACCUACCUUGACAUGUCCGGAACUUGCCAGAGAUGGCUUGGUGCCCGAAAGGGAAUCGGAACACAGGUGCUGCAUGGCUGUCGUCAGCUCGUGUCGUGAGAUGUUGGGUUAAGUCCCGCAACGAGCGCAACCCUUAUCAUUAGUUGCUACGCAAGGGCACUCUAAUGAGACUGCCGGUGACAAACCGGAGGAAGGUGGGAUGACGUCAAGUCCUCAUGGCCCUUAUGGGUAGGGCUUCACACGUCAUACAAUGGUCGGUACAGAGGGUUGCCAAGCCGCGAGGCGGAGCCAAUCCCACAAAGCCGAUCGUAGUCCGGAUUGUUCUCUGCAACUCGAGAGCAUGAAGUUGGAAUCGCUAGUAAUCGCAGAUCAGCACGCUGCGGUGAAUACGUUCCCGGGCCUU
rnacentral:rRNA from 1 species